rnacentral:rRNA from 1 species
CCUACGGGAGGCAGCAGUGGGGAAUAUUGCACAAUGGGGGAAACCCUGAUGCAGCGACGCCGCGUGAGUGAAGAAGUAUCUCGGUACGUAAAGCUCUAUCAGCAGGGAAGAAAAUGACGGUACCUGACUAAGAAGCCCCGGCUAACUACGUGCCAGCAGCCGAGGUAAUACGUUGGGGACAAGCGUUAUCCGGAUUUACUGGGGGUAAAGGGAGCGUAGACGGCAGCACAAGUCUGGAGUGAAAUCCCGGGGCUUAACCCCGGGACUGCUUUGGAAACUGUGCGGCUGGAGUGCAGGAGGGGUAAGCGGAAUUCCUAGUGAAGCGGUGAAAUGCGUAGAUAUUAGGAGGAACACCGGUGGCGAAGGCGGCUUACUGGACUGUAACUGACGUUGAGGCUCGAAAGCGUGGGGAGCAAACAGGAUUAGAUACCCGAGUAGUC